rnacentral:rRNA from 1 species
AGAGUUUGAUCCUGGCUCAGGAUGAACGCUGGCGGCGUGCCUAAUACAUGCAAGUCGAGCGAACGGACGAGAAGCUUGCUUCUCUGAUGUUAGCGGCGGACGGGUGAGUAACACGUGGAUAACCUACCUAUAAGACUGGGAUAACUUCGGGAAACCGGAGCUAAAUACCGGAUAAUAUUUUGAACCGCAUGGUUCAAAAGUGAAAGACGGUCUUGCUGUCACUUAUAGAUGGAUCCGCGCUGCAUUAGCUAGUUGGUAAGGUAACGGCUUACCAAGGCAACGAUGCAUAGCCGACCUGAGAGGGUGAUCGGCCACACUGGAACUGAGACACGGUCCAGACUCCUACGGGAGGCAGCAGUAGGGAAUCUUCCGCAAUGGGCGAAAGCCUGACGGAGCAACGCCGCGUGAGUGAUGAAGGUCUUCGGAUCGUAAAACUCUGUUAUUAGGGAAGAACAUAUGUGUAAGUAACUGUGCACAUCUUGACGGUACCUAAUCAGAAAGCCACGGCUAACUACGUGCCAGCAGCCGCGGUAAUACGUAGGUGGCAAGCGUUAUCCGGAAUUAUUGGGCGUAAAGCGCGCGUAGGCGGUUUUUUAAGUCUGAUGUGAAAGCCCACGGCUCAACCGUGGAGGGUCAUUGGAAACUGGAAAACUUGAGUGCAGAAGAGGAAAGUGGAAUUCCAUGUGUAGCGGUGAAAUGCGCAGAGAUAUGGAGGAACACCAGUGGCGAAGGCGACUUUCUGGUCUGUAACUGACGCUGAUGUGCGAAAGCGUGGGGAUCAAACAGGAUUAGAUACCCUGGUAGUCCACGCCGUAAACGAUGAGUGCUAAGUGUUAGGGGGUUUCCGCCCCUUAGUGCUGCAGCUAACGCAUUAAGCACUCCGCCUGGGGAGUACGACCGCAAGGUUGAAACUCAAAGGAAUUGACGGGGACCCGCACAAGCGGUGGAGCAUGUGGUUUAAUUCGAAGCAACGCGAAGAACCUUACCAAAUCUUGACAUCCUUUGACAACUCUAGAGAUAGAGCCUUCCCCUUCGGGGGACAAAGUGACAGGUGGUGCAUGGUUGUCGUCAGCUCGUGUCGUGAGAUGUUGGGUUAAGUCCCGCAACGAGCGCAACCCUUAAGCUUAGUUGCCAUCAUUAAGUUGGGCACUCUAAGUUGACUGCCGGUGACAAACCGGAGGAAGGUGGGGAUGACGUCAAAUCAUCAUGCCCCUUAUGAUUUGGGCUACACACGUGCUACAAUGGACAAUACAAAGGGCAGCGAAACCGCGAGGUCAAGCAAAUCCCAUAAAGUUGUUCUCAGUUCGGAUUGUAGUCUGCAACUCGACUACAUGAAGCUGGAAUCGCUAGUAAUCGUAGAUCAGCAUGCUACGGUGAAUACGUUCCCGGGUCUUGUACACACCGCCCGUCACACCACGAGAGUUUGUAACACCCGAAGCCGGUGGAGUAACCUUUUAGGAGCUAGCCGUCGAAGGUGGGACAAAUGAUUGGGGUGAAGUCGUAACAAGGUAGCCGUAUCGGAAGGUGCGGCUG